GUGUAUCCCACAUUGCAUUGCGUAUACCUAAUAAUGAUGUUUUGACGGUUGAAAAUUGCGUGACGUAAGCAUAUUAUAUUCACGUUAAUCUAGCUUAAUAUCUAUAUGAUGAUUCAUGAGAUAAUUUUAUUCUGUUUAAUUAAAAUAACAAAGAAAUGCAGCGAAGCAGUAAACUGCGUGCAACGUAAGCUUCGACAAAACUCACAAGCAUUAGACUUUAAAAUAGUCUUUGUGCUUUGGUUUCGAACCCCAAAAGAUCAUGAAAUCGACGUUUUCUUUCUUCCUUUUCCUUAGAAGGUGAGAGUCAGGCUUUAUCUUUUGCAUGGAAGGUGAGAGUCAGGCUUUUCCCUAAACUAAUAGUAGAGAAAAAAAAGAUUUAAAAACUAUUGUGCUUUGCUUUCGAACCCCAAAGGUCAUGCAUGAAAUCGAUGUUUUGUCGGACUUUAUCAACGAAUUAAAUACCUAUUGCAAAUUAUAAAAUGUUCUGCUUGCUUGCGUCUUUUCAUUAAUAACCAUUCUCGUACCCAGACCCCUUCUUACGCGCGGUGCGACGAGGGGCUCUGGUCAAAUCCAUAACCGGAUACCAUAAAAACAUGGUAAGAAAACAAUGUCCAGUGUUAGAACUAGCCAAUCAGAUGCCAGUUCGGAAUAUGGAUUUGGCCAGAGCCCCUCGUCGCACCGCGCGUAAGAAGGGCUCUGGGUACGAGAAUGAUUAAUAACUUCUUAUUAAUUAAAUAUUUCUAGUUGAUAAAGAUAUUGGACCGAGGUCUUUUUUGUAUAGACCGAGCCCGUAGGGCGAGGUUUGUACAAAAAGACCGAGGUCCGAAUAUUUCUCUUUAAAUACCGAGCAAGCGAGAUU